CCAAAUGUACAAUAUUUCUCUACAAAAAUGAAAACUUUCCUAAAAUAGAAUUUUUAAGAAUUUUAUUUUUAAAAUACAACCUAUUGAUCAAAAAAUCUAAAAGAAUACUCUUCUAUCAACAAAAGUUUUUCUUAUCCUAAUUUAUAAAUCACAACCCCAAAUCUACAAUAUUUAUCUACAAAAAUGAAAACUUUUCUAAAAUAGAAUUUUUGAAAAUUUUAUUUUUAAAAUACAACCUAUUGAUCAAAAAAUCUAAAAGAAUACUCUUCUAUCAACAAAAGUUUUUCUUAUCCUAAUUUAUAAAUCACAACCCCAAAUCUACAAUACUUAUCUAUAAUAAUGAAAAACUUUCCUAAAAUAGAAAUUUUUGAAAAUUAUAUUUAAAAAAUACAAUAUAUUGAUAAAAAAAUCAAACAAAAUACUCUUCUAUCAACAAAAAUUCUUGUUGUCCUAAUCUCUAAACCACAAUGCCAAAUGUACAAUAUGUCUCUACAAAAAUGAAAAUUUUCCUAAAAUAGAAUUUUUGAGAGUUUUAUUUUUAAAAUACAACAAUUUGAUCAAAAAAUCUAAAAGAAUACUCUUCUAACAUUAAAAAUUUUCUUAUCCUAAUUUAUAAAUCACAACCCCAAAUCUCAAUAUUUGUCAAUAAAAAUGAAAAACUUUCCUAAAAUAGAAUUUUUAAAAAAAUUCUUUAAAAAAUACAAUAUAAUGAUAAAAAAAUCAAACAAAAUACUCUUCUAUCAACAAAAAUUCAUGUUGUCCUAAGCUCUAAACCACAAUCCCAAAUGUACAAUAUUUCUCUACGAAAAUGAAAACUUUCCUAAAAUAGAAUUUUUGAGAAUUUUAUUUUUAAAAUACAACCUAUUGAUCAAAAAAUCUAAAAGAAUACUCUUCUAUCAACAAAAGUUUUUCUUAUCCUAGUUUAUAAAUCACACCCCCAAAAUCUACAAUACUUAUCUAUAAUAAUGAAAAACUUUCCUAAAAUAGAAAUUUUGAAAAAUUUAUUUAAAAAAUACAAUAUAUUGAU
rnacentral:lncRNA from 1 species